GUUUCGAAUAACCUCAAUAUUAUUUUGGAAUAACAAAAAAUAUAAAGUUUUGUAUGUACUUACGUGUGAAACGAUAUUUCUUCAGAUUUUUUGUUCACUUUGGUAUUGUUUUUGCACCAUUUAAUUACAAAAGAACGGCAUUUUAUAGGCAAAGUUACUCGUAGUUUUAUGCAUAUGUGUGCGUGAGCGCGUGUGUUUACUUGAAGGAGCUGAGUUUUGUGGCUUCAGUAACAACAAAGGCCGCGCAUUAUCUACUUUUUUUUACUUCAUCUAUGAUUA
rnacentral:misc_RNA from 1 species